CGACCAAUACCACCAGGACCACCAUCAAUGCCACCAAUACCAACACCAAAACUACGGAUACCAGCGCCAAAAAACACAAAUACCAAUACCACCAGCAACAGCCACCAACACCACCACAAACACCAUCCAACAAUACCACGACAAUCAACAAAACACUGAGAGAAAAACUAGGGUUUUCUUGAGUGCUUACUACUUUUUUAG
rnacentral:lncRNA from 1 species